rnacentral:lncRNA from 1 species
AUGCACCUCUCUGAGCCUCGGUUACCAUUUUGUAAGAUGGAGAUGCUAAUUCUUGCUCAAGCCACCUUCAGGCUCGACAUUCCUGUGGAUCCCCGUGGAACUACGGUGUGUGGUAAACUACUAUCCUCUUUAUGGCUGUCCCUUUGGCAGACCCAGUCUGCGGGGGAAGAGAUGAGGAAGCGAGGCCCGGACUUUGGAGAAUCCGAAGCUGAGCAGCCUGGGUCCUCCAGGCUGAGCAGUCUCCUCUCAAAACUGAUGAAAGCAGAAUGGGUUUCACUUUGCCACAUGCCUUUCAAUCUUCCAAGGAAGGAUGGAAUAAAGGAGAGUGACCGCUGGUCUUCUCCCCACCGCAUCCCAGGUGCUCAGCACGACGAUUGGCACAUAGUGGAUCCUCAGCAAAUGUUACGUCGGGGAAGUCGCAUAACCUUUCAGACUGCUGUUGCUCAUGAGAGGGCUGAUGGGAAUCCACUUUCUAAGCUGUAAGUAGGUGAUAAACUGGAUUUCCAUGUAUCCUGUCAUUAUUUAGGUGUUCAGGAAUGUGGUUAUAUUUUUUUCUGGCCUCCUAAGCUCGGGGGCGUAUGGGUCGGAGCUGACUUGUUGGAUCCUAUCCCCAAGAUGGAGACACUAAAAAGGUCCCGUCAAGGCACUUACCAGUUGGGUGAUUCUGGCUUCUUUCCAGGAGCAGGAGAGCAGAGGUACUAUAGUGAUACAGCGUCUCACCAAUCAGGGCAGGAUUAAACAAUGGGUAAAGGAGAUUGAAGAAGUUUGUCAGGUGGACUUAUAAUUUACCAAAGAUUUGGGGCAGCAAUUUAAGGAUUUAAGCUGCCCUGGGGGCAGAGUAGGG